GUAGAUGUUUCUCUGGAAUUUUGUUGUUUUCUCUGUGAUUCAGUGGAUGUUGACAAUUUGAUCUCUUGUUCCUCUGCCUUUUCUAAGUUCAGCUUGUACAUCUGAAAGUUCUCAGUGCAUGUACUGUUGAAAUCUAGCUUGAAGAAUUUUGAACAUUACUUUGC